rnacentral:misc_RNA from 1 species
GAUGAAGAACGUAGCGAAAUGCGAUAAGUAGUGUGAAUUGCAGAAUUCAGUGAAUCAUCGAAUCUUUGAACGCACAUUGCGCCCUGUGGUAUUCCGCAGGGCAUGCCUGUUCGAGCGUCAUUUCAACCCUCAAGCUCUGCUUGGUGUUGGGCCCUGCCCGCUCGCGGCCGGCCCUAAAGACAGUGGCGGUGCCGUCUGGCUCUAAGCGUAGUACAUCUCUCGCUCUGGUGCCCGGCGGUGUCCUGCCAGAACCCCCCAACUCUGUGGUUGACCUCGGAUCAGGUAGGGAUACCCGCUGAACUUAAGCAUAUCAAUAAGCGGAGGA